CGAUAAUUUGGUCCCGACCUUCCUUAAGCCCAAAAGGUCUCGACCGAAGGAGAAACUGAAGAAGAGAAGCCAGGACAUCGAGUAUCAUCUUGGCAAAGCCUGGAGUGGACCUCAUAGUGUUGCGAUGACCUUGAUUUUAACUCUCAACCGCCAUUCACCUAGGUUAUCCUAGAGGAAUCAAUCCUGAGUUGAUUCAAAGUACCUCGGCUAGAGCCAUAUGAUGG
rnacentral:lncRNA from 1 species